rnacentral:rRNA from 1 species
AUGAACGCUGGCGGCGUGUCUAAGGCAUGCAAGUCGAACGGAUCUUAUGCGAUUACAUCAAGCAAGAUUAGUGGCAAACGGGUGCGUAACACCUUGAUAACCUACCUCGAGGUCGUGAACAACUCUGGGAAACUAGAGCUAAUACACGAUGGCCCCCGCACCUUUCGCAAGAAGGGUUGCUGGGUAAAAAUUUUUUGCCUCGAGAGGGGUCUAGGCCCUAUCAGCUAGUUGGUGAGGUAAUGGCCCACCAAGGCUAUGACGGGUAGGGGGCGUGAGAGCGCGACCCCCCUCACUGGGACUGAGACACUGCCCAGACACCUACGGGUGGCUGCAGUCGAGAAUAUUCCUCAAUGCACGAAAGUGUGAAGGAGCGACGCCGCGUGCCGGAUGAAGGCCUUUGGGUCGUAAACGGCUUUUAUAGGGGACGAACAAAUGACGGUACCCUACGAAUAAGUGGUUGCUAACUCUGU